rnacentral:lncRNA from 1 species
AUUAUUUGCCAUUGAUCUCUGUUACUAGGAAUAAGGGAAAAAGCGAUCUCUUCUAAGCAUGCAUUUCUCCAUUUUACUGUGAAUAAGGGAAACGAAGAAUUGCAAGGCGAUAGAGUGAUACAGAUCUGUCCUCUUUCCCUUCCUAGAUGUCCAAACAACCAAUGUUGCUGUACAAUGAGGGCAUCUAGAGGACUUCCAGAUUCUGAAGUUUCCUGCAACUGAAGUUCUGAGCAGCUCUGUUUCUCCUCAGAAGAUCUGUCUGUGUGCAUAUGUCAGCCCAGAAAGAUUGCGGCCCCUCUGUCAGCCCAGGUGUUCUGCUUUGAAAAUAGUUGUUCACAAAAGUACAUACUGCCAGAAAGAGAUGACACAGAUAAGGUGUGAUGGUGAAGCGAGGGAUAUUUUUCUCAG